GAUGAGGUCAACAUAGAACGAAUGGAAUAAGGAAAUGCUUUAGUGGCCAUUUCAAUUACUCUGCCUAAGAAAUACGUAAGAUUCCUUUGUAAUUACAUAGUAUUUUCAUAUAAAUUUGACCUUCAUUCCUGUGAGCUAAAUUUUAUCCCCACUUUAGAGAUGAGACAAUGUGUGAAUUUAAGUCCUAUUGUUCAGUAUGGAACUACAACCAAAACCAGCUUUCUUACUCCAAUACUUUUUCUCCAAAACUCAGUGCCAGCUUGAACUGAUGAUUUUCCAUAUAGUGAUCUUUUCUAAGGGAGGCAAAGUGACUCCAAGACCAUAGCCCCCAGGAAAGACAGACACAAUGAGGCUCACAGCCAUGGCGUAGCCUGUCAGCAGGAUCACAAUGACCAGCAGGAAGCCCACCACCUCAUCCCAGGCUUUGCCGGCGACCCUAAACAGACAGCACCGUCACUGCUGCUUGCCUGAACGGUUAGCUGCGUCUCUCCCUAAUGAAAUGUCAUGAACACUGGCAAAGCGCGCUCAGCUGGGGACUUGGAUCUGACCUGGGCACAAUGUUAUAGUCUCCUUUCUGCUCUGUAGUCGCUCAGAGCUGCUGCUUACGAAAAGGUGGCCUUCUCUAAUACAGCUUUCACUGGGUGUUCUAAAUUCCAACAGGAAGCCACCAAUCCUGAGCUAAAUGAAUGCAACAAUUUCCAGAAUACAGCUUACUGAAAGGAUAUAAAGUAAUAAUAUGACAAAGUGUUGGUAACUGGUGAAAAAUACUGAACAAGAAGCAUUCUUUAGGAAAGACAUUGUUUUUAGCAUUUCUGCAACACUGUCCAGGGCAAAGCCUACCAACUGCUCUUGAUGGUUGGGAAGGAGGGUGUGCCUGGCCCAGGGGUAGAAGUGCUGCAGAAGGCUGAUCUCCGAGAAGCCGUGAGAAAAGCUCUUCCGGAGAGCCCGAUGGAGGUGGAAGCGGCUGGGGUUCUGCGAGGAGUGGAC